AAGAGGUUUGCAAGCUGAUUUGGCUAAGAAGAGAGAAAGAAAUAACCAUGUUCUUCCGGCAGCUUGUUAGAUGUGCAAGUAGUCUGCUAGAAGAAGAAAAUGAAGGAGGGUGAAUAGUGCACGAGAUUGCUGGGUUUUGGCAGGUAAGAGAGGAAGCUUGCUCUCUAGGUAUGGGUUGAUUUCUUUGGGUAGAAGAGGCCUCAUUUUAUAGCCGCUGGAAACCAUCACUUCCCAAGAAACCCUAAUGGCUUCUACUCAUUUUGGCCAAGCUUUUCCCUUCCUUUCUCAUCUCCUCCCUUGACUUUUCC
rnacentral:lncRNA from 1 species